rfam:Myotis lucifugus cont2.15170, whole genome shotgun sequence.
AGCGAUUCUCAGGUGACACACUCUGGAACCAGAGAGGAGGGAGCCUGAUUCUGGGGUGCGUCACCCGAGAACAGCC